UAAUUUACUUUUAAUUGAUUGACGUGUUUUAUCCUUUUAUUAACGAGCUUUCGUUUAUGAUUUGUUUCAGAUAGCCAACCUGUGGUCGAGCCGCGUUAAAAACCGGAAGCCAACAGUGCGGCAAACGAAGCUCCAUACGACAGUCAACAGCGGCCGGCGCGUGAAGCAUUUUCGUUCAUGCAACGAUGUCGUCGAAUUCAAAACCCUUAACGCAAGCAGUGCGGUAAACGAAGCCCCAAAUGAGAGUCAGCAGCAGUCGUCGCGCAAAGCAUUUUAUUUUAAAUGCAACGAUGCCGUAUCUGCGACAUCAAAUGGAUAUCACGCCGGUAUUGGUCGGGAUUCGAAACAAAAAUGGGGUUUCCAUCGCUACGUCGGAAGUGAAGAUAGACAAAAUUGGGAGGACGAGAUAUGAACGGUUGUCGCUAUUCAAUCAUUCACCGCCUACUACUCCACAAAUACAGAAGAAAAAUAAAAGGAGGGAUAUGAGACAGGAGACAGUAGGAGGCGCGGGAUCCAUGUCCGGUCUCUUUCCUCUACCGAAAUUGCGGAACAAUUCACCCCCCCCCCUUCCCCACCCAAAAAAAAAA